ensembl:lncRNA
AUCGGACUCGCAGGGGGGCCGGCCCCGCCCCGACCGCCCCGGGCCUCAGUUUCCCCGCCUGCAGCGCGAGGACUUGCGGCUGCGCCCUCGGGAAGCCCGCGGCUGUUCCUGGUUCAGAUAGCAUCCAAGGGUUCUCUCGUCUCCCCGGUGAUCACCAGGUUCCCCCUGCUCAACUUCCCUGGGCACCGAGGACAGAGCGGUGAACAAAACACAAGCCUAAUCCUCAUGGAAUCAACAUUCCAUGAGGUGGAGACAAGUGGUGACAUAAUAAGACUUCCCUGGUGGUCCAGUGGUUGAGAAUCUGCCUGCCAAUGAAAGGAACCCGAGUUUGAUCUUUGGUCCAGGAAGAUUCCACAUGCCAUGGGGCAAUUAAGCCUGUGUGCUGCAACUGCUAAAACCCACAUGCCCUUAGAGGCAGUGCUCGGAAACAAGAGAAGCCACUGCAAUGAGAAGCCCGGGCACCCCAGCGAGAGAGUAAUCCCCACUUGCCGCAACGAGAGAAAAGCCCAGGAGCAGCAACGAAGACCCAGUGCAGCCAUAAAUAAACAAACAAUUUUUUUAAAACCUUACAUUUGGCCAUGUCCUUCCCCUGCCUAAGAUUAUCCAUUGCUAGACAAUGGUUCCUUAAAUAUGACACCAAAAGCAAAGCGACAAAAGAAAAAAAUAAAUAAAUUGGACACCAUCAAAAUUUAAAACUUGUUUUAAAGAACUUCACGAAAGUGAAGAGACAACCCACAGAACGAGAUAAAAAGUUGCAAAUUAUCUAUUUGAUAAGGUACUUGUAUCUAAAAUAAAGAAAGAAGUCAUGUAACUCAAUUAUAAGACGACCCAUUUUAAAACUAGACAAAGGACAUGAAUAGACAUUUCUAGAAAAAAGAUAUACUAGAGUCUAUACCUGAAAAGGUGAUCAACAUCAUUAAUAUCAGGAAAAUGUAAAUCGAAA